rnacentral:lncRNA from 1 species
GGUUUAGCUCCAGUAUCACAGGCAGAGCAAUGGAGGAUGGAUUUGGAGCUGCAAGGCAAUAAACUGGUAACUGAACAAAACCAGUCCAAGAAGAUUGUAUAUAAGAGACACCUGAUAAUUUCAAAAUCCUAGGCCCACUUCCUGAGCUGAGCAAGCAUGCAACCUCAAAGAGAAAAGUUUGAGGAAAUCACUUCAAGGACAAAAAAUUGCAAUGUAAAGAGAAUUAUUUAUCUCCAAAUUCCAGAUUACCCCCCUGCCCAACCCCUGCCAGCAGCACCGUCCACAUGGUUUCUCAUUUAGUUUUGUGUUAGUUUAACAAAGUAGACUCUGCAAUCUGGAUAAAAUAGUAAGUCACCUCAGAUGGAUCUGAGAACGCUGUCUGGGCUUGGUACCAAGAGCUGGUAUUUCACAGCAGCGACCGCCUCACAGACGAGCUGUGGGAAGCAGGAGGGAGACUCUCUCUUAGGGUGCCACUACUAUGGAGACACAGCUGGGCUGAACAAGAUUUGCUUCAAACGACAACAAGAGAGACAGAAAGUAUCUGGUUCAACCGCUGCCCGAGCAGGCAGGCACCAGAAGAGCUAGCAGCCAAUCCGGCCAUGCUCGAAGCCAGCUCUGCAGCUCAGCCAAUCAGUGACAUCAUUGCUUUCUUUAGCUUGCCCAUGGUGAUGUGAAGAUGAGAAGAAAUAGCAAGGCCCAACCAGUUCUUCAUCUGGAGACAGUUCAACGUUCUGCAAACCAGAUCUUCAGGAAUUUUACUGGGAUAAUUAUCCAAAUAAAUUGCAAGCAUUCUAUCCAAAUGGAGCUCUUUCUGAGAUGAAGAGAAUUCUCAAUGUCAAGAUUUGAACAAGAAGAGAAUGGAAUACACAAUAUGGACAUCCAUAAAAAUUCAUCAGAGAGCAUUUUACUACUGAGCUGCAAAGGUAGGAAAAAUAAAUUUUUUUUGGUUAGAAAAUAUACUUCUUUCAUCUGCGUUUCAAUAAUUUAUUCCCCUUGUUAGAUAUACAUGGAAUUGAUAUUGCUUAUUCUGACUAAGUGAAAAGUGUUAUUUCUACUUACUGCUCAAUUAGAAACAUGUAGUGUUUAAUUGUCAGUUUGAAUUUUUCUUUCAUACUAUUACAGUUUAUAUUUUACUAUAGGCAGAAUUUCCUCUUUAUCCUAAAUUUUGAUAUUCUCCAUAAUUUCAUCGUGCCUUGACAUUGCUGUAUAUAAUUUCUAUACAUCAGGAAGGCAAUUCUGUGUGCAUGUGUGUGUGUAUAUAUAUAGUUAGAAGUUAGAAACUGAAACUCUUUUUUGUCUACCAUCAUUUCAUAUUUUUCUUGCUAUUUCAAACCUAUAAUUUUUAAAGAAACGACUAACGUAAUCAUUCAUAGAAUAUGCUGUCAGUAACUUAACAAUAUAAAUGUUAACAUGGAGGCAUUUAGUUCAGCAUUUGCUUUACUUAAUAGAGUGCAGAAAAUGUGGCCCUUUUCUCAGUUAGGGUGUAUGUGAAGAUAAAUUUAGAAUUUCUAGACUAGUAAAUACUUCUCUGAUAAUAACUUAAUUAUAGCUAUUUCAAACCAAAUUGUUUAAUUGUGGUGAAUCAUAUGUAAAUUGUUCAGAUGUAGGUCAACACCCACGCCCACAUUCUAGCACCUCUUUCCUAAUUCAAGACAACUUUGCAGUGCCUAAAAGAGCUGAACAGUGCAGAUUAGAGACAUAAGACAAAAAAAAAAAAAAAA